rnacentral:pre_miRNA from 1 species
UCUUCAUUUCACGUGCUCUCUUUCCGGUCAGAGUGGCGAAAGAGUGUGUGAAAUGAAGAGA